rnacentral:misc_RNA from 1 species
CUCCCCUCAGCUUCUACACUUAGCUGGUGUUGGAGAUCUGUCCUCUAAUUUUUAGGGGGCCGGUCUUCUAAAGUCAGUGGCCACAGGCACAGCCAACUUCUACGUAGUGACACUUGUCGUUCAAGAAAGCAGUUGUCCUAGUGUGCCCUCCUCUCCACUACCGUGGAUAAUUGACU